UACGUAGGGGGCGAGCGUUGUCCGGAUUUAUUGGGCGUAAAGAGCGUGUAGGCGGUUCGGUAAGUCUGUCGUGAAAUCCUGAGGCUCAACCUUGGACGUGCGAUGGAUACUGCCGGGCUAGAGGAUGGUAGAGGCGAGUGGAAUUCCCGGUGUAGCGGUGAAAUGCGCAGAUAUCAGGAGGAACACCGAUGGCGAAGGCAGGUCUCUGGGCCAUAACUGACGCUGAGAAGCGAAAGCAUGGGGAGCGAACAGG
rnacentral:rRNA from 1 species